GCUGAAAUUACGCCUACCAUGAAGCCGGAAUUGCUAGUAAUGGCAGGUCAGCAUACUGCCGUGAAUACGUUCCCGGGCCUUGUACACACCGCCCGUCACACCAUGAGAGUUGGGGAUACCCGAAGCCUGUGAGCCAACUAUAUAGAGGCAGCAGUCGAAGGUAGAAUCAAUGAUUGGGGUGAAGUCGUAACAAGGUAUC
rnacentral:rRNA from 1 species